UGGGAAAGGUGGGAUGGGGGAGAGGAGUGAAUGGUGGGGGACCUGUGAGAGGGAAGGUGGGACGUGGACAGUAGAGAAUGGUGGAGGAGCUGUGAGGGGUAAGAUGGGAUGGGCGAGUGGAAGUAAUGGUGACGUAGAUGUGAGGGAGAAGCUGGGACAUGAGGGAGAGGAGUGAAUAAUGGAGAAGCUUUGAGCGGGAAGGUAUGAAUGGUGGAGCAACUGAAAGGCUACCAAUGCUGCCUCCAGUUCCUGCUCCAAAUGAAUGUCUCUCCUGGAAACUGCUCAACUCCUAUUCCUCAGUCUUCUUGCUCCCCAUCUGCAACCUCCACAAGAUCCCUCCUUCUCAACGACAAUCACAUGGGAUCUCAGAUUUGGAAGAGUGAUGAACACUGUCCCAGGGCUCUGUCUUCAGUCGAGGACAGUUGAGAAGGAACUGGAGGGCUCAGGUUGUGUGUAUGCUAGACGUGGCACCAAUGGCACCCAGCGACCCACGCUGACACUGCUACCGUAAAUCUCUGAUCAACGUCGCCAGGAUGUCCUGAUACCUGAAGUGGAAGACCUACAGGGACUCCAAGAGAUGGAAAAUUGACCAAACCUCUUGGUAAAUUCUUCCAAUGGGUGCUGAUAGCUGGUUAUCAAGUCCUCUGCUGGACAUUCUUUAGCUGAACAGAGCCCCCUGAUUAUUAUGAUGCUUUGCUUUCAGAGAGACAGUCAUUCCCAGCCAUUCCUUUAAUUUUGACAACGUUUUCACCUCAGAAGCUGCCUGCUGUGAUGGUCUCUGACAGGCAGAAGAAAACUUGCAAAAGUACAUCAUGGGAGGAGGAACUAGUUGACAAUACUAAAUAUUGUUGCUGGAGAUGGUAUAGCAAUUGCUGUUGCAAUAGUUAACACGAAGAACAGAAACUUUCCAUUCCAAACUGAAAUGAGCUUUGGUGUGUAAACUCAGGUCAAUUAAGCUUAUGGUGACAAUUAUACUGUCAAAAAUAUUCCAGCGCUGCUGAAAAUAGUAGUAGGGAUCUAGAGCAAUGAUUUUCAAGAUCACUUCUGCAGUAAAAAUUCCAGUAAAGACCUGUGACAAAAGAAACAUGCUCUAGUGCCAUGAAGAUAGUAUUCAUCACGAUGCAAAGAGUGAUAGUGAGGUAUCCAAGUUAGGCUGACUGGACUAUAAUCCCCUGGCUCCUCUUUGUUAUUCUUUUUAAAGAUAGGUCCCCUCUAGAAAGACAGGUGUCAUCAAUAGUGACCUGCAUUGGAUUUCAUUUUCCAAAGCACUGAAGAUCUCAUCAUCACCAAAAUCAGUUUUGGAGCCAAUGACUCUGCCAGUUCCAUGGCUUCCUGAAACCUCCUUUCCUUUGCCUCAGUUUCAGCAAUAGUAGCUUUGUUCUGCUCUUCGUAUGCCAUAGUCACUACAGCCAGGAUCAAGUUGAUCAGAUAAAAUGAGCCCACAAAGAUGACCAGCAUAAAAAAGAGCAUUGGAUCUUGUCUUAAACACAGCCCCAAUUCUGCGGAGUUACACAUGUGCAUAGUCUGAUUGAAAUCAUUGGGAGAAUUGGUGCUGGAUAACUGUUUAGAGGACUUAUCCCUACUUUCUGCCUUUUACACUGUGAACUAAGGUUAUCUUUAGACUCUGAACUAGUCAGAGGCUGACUGAAUAUGCAAUAGGCAGAGUUGCAUCAGCGUAACAUAUUAUAAAAGCUGUUUCCAAGCCUACGUGCCUUGGGAGAUGAGAGGAUAACAAUCAUGACGAGGAUGACUAACACUUCAGGUGUUUUUGCAAGAGAUGGUGUGAAUUUAUGGAUGCUCAGAUCUCAUUCUGUAUUCUCUCUAUUUACCUUCCUCGGUGGAGGGUUUGUGAUUUUGCUAACUGUGCUAAUGAAACUAUUGCAAAUUCAAGGUUUUCUAAGUGUAAGUGUUGUAACUGUAAACGUCGGGGUUCCCAAUUUAACAGUAAUUCUAACAACAUUGGGCCUGAUCUUGAGUCUAGAACCUACUAAACGACUAAGUGUUGUCGACUGGGGAUUCUGGAGAAACAGAAGAGGAAGAAAGAAGAUCAGAAGAGAGCUGAAAUCACUGUAGAAGGAAGAGCUGUGGCAGCAGUGACAGCUAAGAAGUCGUGACAGAGCAAAAGGACUGUAGUCAGAUUCGAGGGAAAGAAAACUAUAGAGAAGUAACAUAACAUGACCAAGUUCAACAUACAGUAGGAGGGAAGCAGUGGAGGGAGGACAAGGAGCUGAAAAAGUACAACAGCCGCUCAGGAAGUCUCUAACUCCCACUCCCCAGAAAGGGAAUUGAACUGCCGCGGGAUCUAGUGCAUGGUUUCAGGCAGUUCCACCCCUAUCCACAGCAGUGUGUAGAGUGUCAGCAAUCCAACUCAGCACUGUCUACCAAAGGCCAGCCAAGACCCCCAGAACUCCAGACUAAAGAGCCAGGAGAUGACCUUGCCCCAUCCAGAGUUGAAGACACUCUAAGAGGAUCCUUUUUCAUUUGUUUACGCUGGCCAAUAUUCACAGCAC